rnacentral:rRNA from 1 species
AUUGAACGCUGGCGGCAUGGUUAAACAUGCAAGUCGAACGCGAAAGUACCUUCGGGUGCGAGUAGAGUGGCGAAAGGGCGAGGAAUACGUUCCUACGUACCCCAAGGCUGGGGAUAGCUCAGGGAAACCUGGGGUAAUACCCGAUACGGUGCUUCGGCAUCAAAGGCUUGCCACCUUGGGAGCGGGGAACGUCCUAUCAGGUAGUUGGUGAGGUAAAGGCUCACCAAGCCGAAGACGGGUAGCGGGUGUGAGAGCAUGACCCGCCGCAUCGGAACUGAGACACUGUCCGGACUCCUACGGGAGGCUGCAGUAACGAAUAUUCCGCAAUGCGCGAAAGCGUGACGGGGCAAUGCCGCGUGUGGGAUGAAGCCCUUCGGGGUGUAAACCACUGUCAGGGUUU